rnacentral:piRNA from 1 species
CUGCCCAAGAAUAAGGUCGUUUUGAG